rnacentral:rRNA from 1 species
AGAGUUUGAUCCUGGCUCAGAUUGAACGCUGGCGGCAUGCUUUACACAUGCAAGUCGAACGGUAACGCGGGGGCAACCCUGGCGACGAGUGGCGAACGGGUGAGUAAUACAUCGGAACAUGUCCUGGAGUGGGGGAUAGCUCGGCGAAAGCCGGAUUAAUACCGCAUACGCUCUGAGGAGGAAAGCGGGGGACCCGUAAGGGCCUCGCGCUGCGGGAGUGGCCGAUGUCGGAUUAGCUAGUUGGUGAGGUAAAGGCUCACCAAGGCGACGAUCCGUAGCUGGUUUGAGAGGAUGAUCAGCCACACUGGGACUGAGACACGGCCCAGACUCCUACGGGAGGCAGCAGUGGGGAAUUUUGGACAAUGGGGGCAACCCUGAUCCAGCCAUGCCGCGUGAGUGAAGAAGGCCUUCGGGUUGUAAAGCUCUUUCGGACGGGACGAAACGGUUGCGGUGAAUAACCGCGACUAAUGACGGUACCGUAAUAAGAAGCACCGGCUAACUACGUGCCAGCAGCCGCGGUAAUAC